GGGUUUCAACACCUCCGUGCCGCCGCUAACGCAUUAAGUAUUCCGCCUGGGGAGUACGGUCGCAAGAUUAAAACUCAAAGGAAUUGACGGGGACCCGCACAAGUAGCGGAGCAUGUGGUUUAAUUCGAAGCAACGCGAAGAACCUUACCUACACUUGACAUCCCUUGCAUUACUCUUAAUCGAGGAAAUCCCUUCGGGGACAAGGUGACAGGUGGUGCAUGGUUGUCGUCAGCUCGUGUCGUGAGAUGUUGGGUUAAGUCCCGCAACGAGCGCAACCCUUGUCGUUAGUUACUACCAUUAAGUUGAGGACUCUAGCGAGACUGCCUGGGUUAACCAGGAGGAAGGUGGGGAUGACGUCAAAUCAUCAUGCCCCUUAUGUGUAGGGCUACACACGUGCUACAAUGGCUGGUACAGAGAGAUGCAAUACCGCGAGGUGGAGCCAAACUUAAAAACCAGUCUCAGUUCGGAUUGUAGGCUGAAACUCGCCUACAUGAAGCUGGAGUUACUAGUAAUCGCGAAUCAGAAUGUCGCGGUGAAUACGUUCCCGGGUCUUGUACACACCGCCCGUCACACCAUGAGAGUUGGCAAUACCCGAAGUCCGUGAGCUA
rnacentral:rRNA from 1 species